CCUCUUUUCUCCUUACCCAGUUAUGCAUGUCCAUGACGAAUGUCUCUCAGAGACCCUCACCAACCACGACCAAAGGGCACACACUCUACCGGAGGCACGCGCAGAUCACCAUGGGGGAGGAAGAUACAGUGAAUUCUGCCUGGUGAAGGAUGUCAGUAAAAAGUCUUGAGAAAGGAUGACUUUUUCUAGCUCACAUGAAGAUCCCUAUGAAGCAGCUGUGGCUCUGAGUGAGUUGAAUCCAUGCAGAGUCUAAAGAACCCCUUCUCCCCAUCUGAACUCCACGCCUCAUCUAACAAUUCCAUGAAGACACACAAGCAGGAAGUGCCCCUUGGGGGUACCCAAAACCCAGUAACUUCUGCUUCUCCAGAAACGCCCCAUCUCCACUGCCAGCAGCCUGGGAUGAUAACCCUGGCCACUUGGCCACAGCUGAUUGGACCAGCUUACCAAGCUGGCUGUUGCAGAAGAGUUACAGACCUUGAGACCAGACUGGUUUAAACUGGAGAUGCGGGCACAGAGCCUCCGUGAGAUGCUGGCCCAGGGGAUGCUCGCCAGCCCUGUGGCCCACAGAGCUGCAGCUGGUGGCUCUCACAACCAGCUACACGAAGGCCCACUCUGGUCAGACAAACAGACUUUAGCCAAGUCCACUCCUGGCCUUCUCAGCCAAUAAAG